rnacentral:rRNA from 1 species
UACGUAGGGUGCGAGCGUUGUCCGGAAUUAUUGGGCGUAAAGAGCUCGUAGGCGGUCUGUCGCGUCGGUCGUGAAAACUUGGGGCUUAACCCUGAGCUUGCGGUCGAUACGGGCAUGACUGGAGUUCGGCAGGGGAGACUGGAAUUCCUGGUGUAGCGGUGAAAUGCGUAGAGAUGUGGAGGAACACCGAUGGCGAAGGCAGCCUCCUGGGCCAACACUGACGCUCAUGCACGAAAGCGUGGGGAGCAAACAGG